UUUUCUAUUAAUUGUAGAAUAGUAUGAACGGUUGAACAAUAGGGAUCUAUUAGUUUUUUAGUUAUGUAAUUUAAAUUUCAAGUAAAAAUGCUUGAAUAAGAAUAAGGGACGAUAAGACCCUAAAAGCUUUAAUCAAUAAUAAUAUUGAGUUAAAAUGAUGGAGAUUAUAAUUAAAUGAUAUUAGCUGGGGUAGUUUAUUUGUAGAUAUUAGGUUUUAGUGAGAGCUAUGGUUAGGAUUUUUGAUCUUUUAGAUAAAGAUGGGUAGAAUUAGUUACUUUAGGGAUAACAGCGUGAUAAUUUUGGAGAGGACUUAUUGAUAAGAUUGAUUGCGACCUCGAUGUUGAAUUAGAAGAGUUUUGUGAGGUAAAAGGUGCAAAAAGUGGUUUGUUCAACCAAUGGAUUUCU
rnacentral:rRNA from 1 species